CUGGUGAAUAUGGUGCACAUUGGACAAAAGAUGGAAGUAAGGUGUGGGGAUACCCACUAAAUUCUGUCAUAAAUUGAUGAUUUGCUUAUUUUAGUUAAACUGUGCAAUCAAUAGUCAGAAUAUUUCUGCCAUAUGCAUAAAUUAAAUGUUAAUAUGAUAUAGAUUAUAUUAUACUACUGAUUUUUUUCCUUCAAAAAUUCUAUAUCAUUUCAGCUUACCGGAGUACGUGAUGAGAAAGGUAUUCCUAUCAUUAAGGAUUGUUACAACAGUCCUCUUACUGCAAGUUUGUCCUUAACAUGGAAAAGGGAGUUCCACUUUUGCCUAAAUGGUUAUCCUUCUCUAGGGUGAAUGCACGUGCCUGGACGGGCGUUGAGAUAGGUCCUGCUCGCCUUCAUUUAAGCUUAAGCCAGAAGCUAGGGGUCCAGAUUGUGCUUUGUUGGACCACCAGUUGUUGGAAAGACAUCACUGGCAUCCUCUAUAGUUGCUGCACGGGGUGUAAAAUUUGUGUGCAUAUCCCUAGUGGAGUCAAGGAUGAGGCUGAUAUUAGAGGACAUAGGAGAACAUACAUUGGAAGCAUGCCUGGGAGGCUUAUUGAUGGACUGAAGGUUCAGAAUCUAACUUAGACAUUGAACGCUAACAUUAUCUGUUCUUACAAAAUUUGCAAAUGCUUGUAGGUUUUAUGAUACAUGGACUGCCAGCAUUUCUUGUUAUGUUUCUUUCCAUCUUUUAUUCUCCUAGGGAAAUAGACUAGAGAUGACAAGUGAAUAUUAGUUCUCAAGGACACAAACUCUAGAUUCAGAAUGUUUAUGCAGUAGAUUAAAAAGGAGUGUUGAUUGGGUUACAAUGCAAAUUGUAGAUUCUAAAUUUUUAAUAUGUAUUACUUUGCAAUUUACUAAUUAUGUGUGCUCACAUGAAAGUGAAGUCAUUUCAUUA